rnacentral:rRNA from 1 species
UACGUAGGGUGCAAGCGUUAAUCGGAAUUACUGGGCGUAAAGCGUGCGCAGGCGGUUAUAAGAGACAGAUGUGAAAUCCCCGGGCUCAACCUGGGAAUUGCAUUUGUGACUGUAUGGCUAGAGUGUGUCAGAGGGGGGUAGAAUUCCACGUGUAGCAGUGAAAUGCGUAGAUAUGUGGAGGAAUACCGAUGGCGAAGGCAGCCCCCUGGGAUAACACUGACGCUCAUGCACGAAAGCGUGGGGAUCAAACAGG